rnacentral:misc_RNA from 1 species
AUGGAAAAUGAAGUUACAUGUAUGGAAAAAGACUGUUUGGUUCAAAGAAGAAGAGCGAUGUUGGAAGAAUGUUCUCAUAUAAUUGGGGUGAAUGGCGUGGCUCGUUACAACAGAGAAGCGUUUAAACAACUUUUGCAAGAUUCGACGUUGAUGGAAAAGUUAUUCUCGUUAUUCGAUCGAAAUGGAGACAGAAUAUUGACGCAAGAUGAAUGGAUCGAAUUUUUAAAGGGAAGAUUGAAAAAUGAAAAAUCAAAUGAUCUCAUCAUUCAAUUCGAGAAUGUUGCCUAUUCCAUAUGCUGUGAUAAUCCAGUAACUUUUGAGAAAUUUCAACAAAUAUUUUCUACCAAAGAGAUUGUAGAUAAAUUAUUUCGACGAAUCGAUGAAGAAAAUUUGGGAUACAUCACAUCCUUUCAAAUCAUGGAAUUCCUCUCAAACAUCAGCGAUACAAGGCCGCUCGCUGGAUUCGAUAAGCGAAGUCUGGAAUGGCUGGAAAAGAUCUUCAAACAGACGGUGGGCAACGAGAAAGAAAUUAGGCGCGAAGAAUUCAACAAAAUCGUCACUUCGAAGAACCCGUUCUUCACCGACAGAGUGUUCCAAAUUUUCGACAAGGAUAAUUCUGGAACGAUAUCUCUUCAGGAGUUCGUCGAUGCUAUGCAUCAGUUUGCAGGAAAAAGUCCUGACGACAAGAUAAAAUUCUUGUUCAAGGUUUACGACAUUGAUGGCGAUGGAUUGAUACAACUUCGCGAGUUGGAACACGUGAUGAGAGCUUGUUUGGAGGAAAAUGGAAUACGAUUUAGCGAGGAACAAAUCGAGGAAUUAACCAUGGCUUUGUUCGAUGACGCUGAUCAAUCUAAUCGAGGUGCCAUUACUUUCGAAGCUUUGAAGAAACAAUUAGAGAAACACGAAGGACUUUUAGAGAAUCUUUCAAUCAGUAUCGAUCGAUGGCUAGUACCACCAAAACCAGAAUCGAAGAGAAAAUCACGCUUGCAAUUCCUCGCUUCGUUGCGUCCUUAUCAAUUGACGAAGCCAUACAUGAAGAACAAUUACGUUUACAUCGUUUUCAUCUCGAUCUUUAUCCUGAUCAAUGUGUCUUUAUUCGUGUCGAGACUCUACGAGUACAGAAAGUCCAAUGGUUAUGUUAUGCUUGCUCGUGCCUGUGGUCAGUGCUUGAAUUUCAACUGCAGCUUCAUCCUGAUUCUUAUGUUGCGUCAAUGUAUCACCUUUCUACGAACUCACGGUUUCAAUUCUGUAUUGCCAUUGGAUCAACAUAUUUAUCUGCACAAAGUGACUGGAGGUUUAAUCUGUAUCUUCAGCAUAGUUCACACGUUGAUGCAUCUUCUUAAUUUUGGUACUAUUGUUAUUUAUGAUGAAAUUCUUAAUCACAAUAAUUAUACAUUAUCCGAAUGGUUAUUGACGAGUCGACCUGCUCUGUUUGGACUCGUAAGAGGCUAUGCAAAUCCGACUGGAUUCAUUCUUGUCAUUCUUUUUCUUAUAAUAAUGAUAUGUUCGAUGUCGUUUGUUCGACGUGGUGGAUGUUUCGAGAUAUUUUACUGGUCACAUUUGUUGUACGUACCAUACUGGAUAUUAGUCAUAUUACACGCACCGAAUUUUUGGAAAUGGUUCAUAGGACCAGGCUCAAUAUAUUUGUUGGAAAGAAUACGUAGAAUUGCCUGGUCUCGUUCACAAUUAGGAAAAACGUAUAUAAGCUCAGGUCUUCUUCUACCGUCGAAAGUCACGCAUUUGGUUAUCAAGAGGCCUCCACAUUUCGUUUUUCAUCCCGGUGAUUACGUUUUUGUGAAUAUUCCUGUCAUAGCUCGUUACGAAUGGCAUCCAUUCACUAUUAGCAGCGCUCCAGAACAAGAAGAUUAUAUAUGGCUUCACAUUCGAGCAGUGGGCGAAUGGACCAAUAGUCUUUACUCAUACUUUGAAAAGGAGCAGAUGAAACUUCAAAGGGAUAAUAUAUUUCCAAUUGAGAAUCGCAGUAAUCCAAACAUUUCUGAAUUAAUAUCCAUGAAUGGAAAAGUGAAUGAGAAAUUUCUUUCACCCAUUCCAAGUGGGAAUCAUCGUAGUUUUGAUAAUCCUGUAUUUGUUUCUGAUGAUGAAAAAAUAAUACAAUCGCCUCAAUCUGCAAUUGGUAUAACGGAUGUUAAAAAAAUGUCGAACAACCGGAAGCUUCAUUCAUUGCUCGUUAGUAAGAUGCCUUUGGAGAAAUCUGUGUCUGUACCUGAUAUGCUAGGGAAAAAGAAAAAUGAUCGAUUAAUUGCACUUCGUGAUUAUACAAGAUCAGAAUCAGAGAGAAAUUUCAACGAACGUCAGAUACGCGAUGCACGUUUGAAAUCCUUAAAUGAAAUCUAUUCAAGUCCUCAGAAUAAAGGAUUGGCGCAAAGUUUUCGAUACAUGAGGAAUAAACCCACUAUAAUUGCUUUCAAGACUCCAAGUUUGGAAAAGUAUGAAUUGGAAUCAGGCGACAAAAAUACAACACAAGAAUACAGAAGAAAACAGUCCAAUAAUUUAAACACGAUUCAAUCAGCAGCAGAAGAGGGUAGAUUGCAAAUGAAAUUCGAAGAAAAUUCAAAAAGGAACCAUAACGAUAUUGAGUUUGACUCAAUUUCUCAUUCAUUGAACUAUACUAUUGGAAAACCAUUGGAGACAAUUUAUUUAGAUUUUCUUGGAUGGACCAUACGGAGCUCCUUCAAGCCACAUAUUUCAAGCUCAACACGCAGUUUUAAUUGCAACUGGAAUCGGAGUCACACCUUUUGCUUCCAUAUUACAGUCUAUCAUGCAUCGUUAUUGGAAAGCUAGGCAUACUUGUCCAAAAUGCAAAUUCUCGUGGGCUAGUGAAAUUCCUCCUACUGUGAUGCAUCUUCGAAAGGUUGAUUUCUUUUGGAUCAACAGAGACCAACGAUCCUUCGAAUGGUUUGUAAAUUUAUUAUCUCAAUUGGAAAUGGAACAAGCAGAAUUAGGUGACGCCAUGGAACGUUUUCUUGAGAUGCAUAUGUAUAUCACCAGUGCUUUACAAAAAAGUGACAUGAAAGCUGUAACUUUGCAAUUGGCUAUGGAUUUGGUUCAUCAAAUGGAAAAACGGGAUCUUAUAACAGGUUUGAAGACACGGACGAAUGCUGGCCGACCAAAUUGGGAUAAGGUGUUCAAACAUCUUCAGGAUCAGAA